UACCAGGCCUUGACAUCCAAUGAACUUUCCAGAGAUGGAUUGGUGCCUUCGGGAACAUUGAGACAGGUGCUGCAUGGCUGUCGUCAGCUCGUGUCGUGAGAUGUUGGGUUAAGUCCCGUAACGAGCGCAACCCUUGUCCUUAGUUACCAGCACGUAAUGGUGGGCACUCUAAGGAGACUGCCGGUGGCAAACCGGAGGAAGGUGGGGAUGACGCCAAGUCACCAUGGCCCUUACGGCCUGGGCUACACACGUGCUACAAUGGUCGGUACAGAGGGUUGCCAAGCCGCGAGGUGGAGCUAAUCCCAUAAAACCGAUCGUAGUCCGGAUCGCAGUCUGCAACUCGACUGCGUGAAGUCGGAAUCGCUAGUAAUCGCGAAUCAGAAUGUCGCGGUGA
rnacentral:rRNA from 1 species